rnacentral:tRNA from 1 species
GCCGGGGUAGCCAAGCCUGGAAAAGGCGAAUGGCUGAAGACCAUCUAGACGCCCGGUCUUCGCGGGUUCGAAUCCCGUCCCCGACG